rnacentral:lncRNA from 1 species
UGUUCUCCAGUAUGCCUCAGCAGUCGUGUGGAUUCUAGGGAAAGCUGCUCUGUCUGGCCGACAGAAACAUCAUGUUUUAUUCUCACCUUUUGUUUUCUUCCUUUUAGGUCUGUUGUGCUUCUGUUACUGGCAGGACAGCCAGAGGAGGCAGACAGGACCUUUGAUGCCUGGCAAGCUGUGCCACUGGGAGAGAGAAGAAAGCAAGACGGUGGAAUCUCUCCAAGCGAUGACAGACCAGGCUACUGGGUGACAAGUGGUGAAGCAUCCAGGAGCCAGCAGUUGCCAGUGGUCCCCUUUACCCGUGAGGUCAGCAUCUCUAACACAUACCCUUCUCUUCACAUAAUAGACUUGCACCUGUCUUUCAGUUGGGAAUGACAAAGAAAAUAUUUUUCUGCUCUCAUCCACUCUGUUUUCUGGUGAUUUCCUCUUUUAUCCUGACCCAGAGAACAGAUGUUCUGCAUCCACUAAGGUCGGUUUUACAUUGUUUUGGCUUUCAAGGAGUGUUUUUAACAUUCCUGCUGAUGAUUUAGCAUAAAUUGUUCUUGUAAUUAGCGUGGUUAAUGAACUCCCCACCUAUCUUUUAGUAGGUAAUUACAAAGCUGGUGUAUAUUAGCAGGUACUGUAUAAAGAUGAGAGGAAGGCUGGUGAUUAUGGAUUCCAUCCUCAUGUGUCUACGACCAAAUCCCAAACGGUUUAAUCAUCAUCAAUGUCAACCUUUGCCAUAUCUUCAUUCUACAUGCCAUAUAUUAUAAUGUUGCAUUUACAUUUCAUCUUGACUUUGAUAUUUGCUCCUUCAGAAUAGAGGUGCCCUGAUUAGACAAGGCUACUGGCAAUUGAAAGAAAUGUUUUAAAAAUAUGCACAUGCCAUUACCAAUUUCCCACGAGUGGUUCUCUGUUUUACUGUGUGUGUUUACCAAAGGCUUUUUUGUUUUGUUAGAUGUAGUUAUGGCUAGAAAAGAUUGAGUCUGUGGCAAAAAAUUGACAAUUACCAAAAGCUCCAUAGUCCGAUUUUUUUAGUCAGGGGCAAGGGGACAGGAAGAAGGAGAUCUCUUCAUGUAGAAUGUAAACUUACUGAGUAUUUCAAAUAUGUAAACAUAAAUUAUAUAUGUAUGUGUGUCUAUUUAUAUUCACUGAAGCCCUAUUAUAAGAAUUGUAUAUACAAGCUAUAAUUAUUGUCAUUCUCUUCCUAUACUCCUUUCUCUCUGAUCAUUUCAUAUCAACUUCUGAUUAAAUAAUAUUGGGCAAUCAUAGAUAUCAAGAAUCUUCUGCACCAAUCAACCAUUGAAUUUCAAAUAUUUAUUAAAGAACUGGGUGGUUAGCUGUCUGCACUCAGAGUUAUUCCUGCCAAACAUUCACCACCACUGUGCUAGGUGCCACAUCUCUCUAUCACUUCUCUCAGGACUCGCUGCUCCUUGUGCCUUUCAUUCCUCCCUCAAGUUUUAGGGACCAGAGGAUGAACUUCUGAAUAGAUAAUUGCAUUU